UACGUAGGGGCCUAGCGUUGUCCGGAUUUAUUGGGCGUAAAGAGCUCGUAGGCGGUUCGGUAAGUCAGGUGUGAAAUCUCCACGCUCAACGUGGAGGCGCCACCUGAAACUGCCGUGACUCGAGUCCGGUAGGGGAGUGUGGAAUUCCUAGUGUAGCGGUGAAAUGCGCAGAUAUUAGGAGGAACACCGGUGGCGAAGGCGCCACUCUGGGCCGAAACUGACGCUGAGGAGCGAAAGCGUGGGUAGCAAACAGG
rnacentral:rRNA from 1 species